rnacentral:lncRNA from 1 species
UUUUAUUAAACUUUAUGUAAAUUUUUUACUGAAAUUUUAUUUUUCUAACUUUUUGAGAUGCAAAAUUUUUAAUUAAAUUUUUAUAAUAAAGUUCUUCUAAUAUUUUUUUUUUCAAUUUAUAAUAUAGUGAAUCUAUUUAAUCUUUUUUGAGAUAUUGUUGAUCUUAAGUAAGAUUUUAUUAAUUUUAAUUUUAAAUUUUUUUUUCUACCGAAGCAACACUUAUUAAAAUUAUUAAUAUUAUUCUAAAAGUAAUAUAUGCAUUUGAAAAAGAGUCGAGUCAUUUUAUAUGAUUGAGUAUGUCC